rnacentral:rRNA from 1 species
GUGGGGAAUAUUGGACAAUGGGCGAAAGCCUGAUCCAGCAAUGCCGCGUGAGUGAUGAAGGCCUUAGGGUUGUAAAGCUCUUUUACCAGGGAUGAUAAUGACAGUACCUGGAGAAUAAGCUCCGGCUAACUCCGUGCCAGCAGCCGCGGUAAUACGGAGGGAGCUAGCGUUGUUCGGAAUUACUGGGCGUAAAGCGCGCGUAGGCGGUUUAUCAAGUCAGGGGUGAAAUCCCGGGGCUCAACCCCGGAACUGCCCUUGAAACUGGUUCACUAGAAUCCUGGAGAGGCGAGUGGAAUUCCGAGUGUAGAGGUGAAAUUCGUAGAUAUUCGGAAGAACACCAGUGGCGAAGGCGACUCGCUGGACAGGUAUUGACGCUGAGGUGCGAAAGCGUGGGGAGCAAACAGGAUUAGAUACCCUUGUAGUCC